CGGCACCAGACGGGUAGCACGAUCUCGAGGUACAGGGGGCCAGGAGCGCCGGGGCGGGGGUAAUGGAGUCGGGAGAGGGGCUAGGUUAGAGAGAGGGCUUUUUAGCGGUAGCGGCCGGAUGGUGAGGAGGAGAAGACGGGGUACCCGCGAUCGCUUACCCUCGGUUGGUGGGCUUCGCUGGCCUCGCUGCUCGCCUCCUCCUUCCCUUUCUACCGCCCCGCCGCCGCCCCUUCCUCAGCAACGCCCGCCGCCCGUAGGACUAGUUCGUGCUCCCCAGGGCCGCGUCCCGCAGGACCUUCUUGGGGCUCCCAGCUCAGUAGAGGCGGUGGUGCCGGUGGCGCGCGGAGCCGCUCGAGGCGCUGAUUAGGAGCGGCCAGCGCGAAGGAAACGCCUGGAGCUUCGGCGGCAGGGCCAUCUAGCACGACGUGGUAGAGGAAAGCGUAGCUCGCGGCGGCAGGGCAUAGGAUAGAGGGACUGGGCUGGGUACGGUGUAGAGGAUAGGAAAGAGAGAGGGGAUAGCUUGGACACGGCCACACGCGCGUAGAGGGCGGUCGCGUACACCGCGGUACGGUAGUACCACUGUCUACUCCAGCCCGGGGCCACGUUUCUUACCGGUGUCAACGCGUCAGGGUACAACCACCGGCAGCGGACGCCUCAUAUCGUCUCCUCGCACACCUAGUCCCUUCGCCCGCCUCAAAGCCGUCGUGACGUCGGCAGCAAGAGACUGGACAAGAGCCUUGCACAAUUGGACGAAAGACUAGAUUGACUGCUACGUUCAUCAGUAAAUUGACGUCCAGUCGUGUAUAGAUACAGGUAAAUUGACCACCGCGUGACCAGGAGGACCCGUCGUAGCGUCAGCCACUGGGACGGCUCACCGCACCACCUCGCCGGGAACCGGCCGAUCGUGUAGUGCUCGCCGACACCGCACACUUUAGGAAUUCCUAACAUUGGCAGUCCCCUUAUCUAUUCUCUGGUACAGACAAACUGGAAAACCAUGACACAAAAUAUGUCUUACCGUUCCUAUCCGGUUUUUAGUACCUAUACAAUAUAUCAGGAACAAGUAUGAACCCCUGAGGUCAUACUACCUAACACGAACGAUUGCUAUGAUAAGAAAGAACAUAACGUCUAAUAGUUCUGUAAGGACUAGUGUAAUUUGGUCGUAUCAUUCGAUAGUCUAAAGAAUCAAUGUGACUGCAUUCAUGUUGAUAACCAGUAUGAAGCGGGUACCUCAACCUACUUCGUCCAAUGUGACCACCGUCUCUAGAGUAUCGUACACACGUGCCAUGGUGGGUAUCACUUAGUAGUCAUUGAUUCCGUCGGUCUGGGUGGUCUAAAGUCUCUUUCCAUGUUUUGUUUGGAUAUUCGUACGAUUUCCGUAGUUACCUAUAUAUAUGCUCCAUACUUGUACUGUUAACUACUUCCGGCACUACCACCAUAUACGUGUGCACCCUCAACCGAAUAACUAGAGGGUCGUUAACCCUUACUAUUUACCACUUCCGAAAAUACGUUCAAGACAGGAAUCAUCCAUGAAUUUAUAGCACUAGUAACACAACAGGGAAGGAUUGUUAAGACGUAGUAUAGCUAACCGUAAUACGUCGGUAGGAGUACCUAUACUCACUUCUUCCUAAGAUGAUUUGAACAGCUCGACUACGUAUACUUCUGUUUCAUAAUUCAUCCUAAAGCAAAACUCUUAGAAAAAAAAAUAGGCUAGAUGUGUAGACCUUGUAAGGGCUCGAAGGAAGAGUGUACUUAUAGUAUAUAGAUAUCCAUUGUCGUAUAAACACUUGGCAUCACUAUCUUUAACUAGUACCCUCUGAUCGUACGAUAGUGUUCAACUACAAUUUUUCUUUUCGUCACCGUUCCUUUUGAAUAAAACAAACGACAAACACAUACAUUGGACUUGCGAUUUACUACAAAAUCCGUGUAACAGAUAAGAGCAUUAUACAACGGCGUAACCGGGAAAGGUUGUAGUACCAUUCCUCACACAGUGAGUACAUAGACGUAACAUAAGACAAAAAAUCCCGGUAACAUAAAACAACAUC
rnacentral:rRNA from 1 species